rnacentral:hammerhead_ribozyme from 1 species
ACCAGUUGACAAGUCCCAAACAGGACGAAACGCGUGUCCUGGAU